UGUGCUCAUGUGUUAGGUCCAAUGU
rnacentral:piRNA from 1 species